rnacentral:lncRNA from 1 species
ACUCUAUAGCUGUUUUUCUUUUCUUGAUUCUAGGUUACUAGUAUAUCUGUUUUCUUUCCUAGGUCUUUAUAAUACAGCUGUAUGAAGAUUAAUUCAAAGAAAUUGAAGAUAUCAGCGAUGGAGACCAUAUACGAUUAACUCAACCACGCAAGGUUUUGAAAUUUUUAAUUCUCGAUUAACAAUAUUGCAAAGAAACAUAUAUUUUUAUUUUUAGAUUAAUAAACCUGAUUUGUCAUGACUAAGUGCGCGUUAUACAGUUUAUAUGGCAACGAAGUUGACUUCUAUACACCUAGAAACGAUCUUGUCGUGAAAAGACCAAAGGAAUUCAUCAACCACGCAACCAUUUAUAUAUGUAAUUGUUGAUUCCGACCCAUUUUGCUUAUAUGUAAUUGUUGAUUCCGACCCAUUUUGCUUAUAUGUUAUUUAUGUUAUCAUCAUUUGUUCGUGUGUCUUUUUCUUUAGAUUGUUUAAUGGCUCAUUGUGUAUUUGAUUAAAUUGAUAGUCUAUAUGUAAUUGACUAACUGUAAGCAAUAACUCACAGUUAGACAUUACGUAGAUGAUUUAUUUUUCAGAAUAGAAAUGUUCAAAACUUU